GGUGCAUUGAAGCCUCCUCGAAAGGUUUCUGUGUAUAGUCGGUACAUCGGGUCACUACCCCGGUGUACCGGCGAAUCG
rfam:Bacteria symbiont BFo1 of Frankliniella occidentalis strain BFo1 contig072, whole genome shotgun sequence.